AUUCACACAGAAAAAGAUUCGUCAGAUUGUGACUCCUCUUAAAGAUGACCCGUGCCUUCCGGCAACUCGGCUCUUCCAUUAAAGUCGAAGUCUCACCAUGGUGACGGUUACCCAGCUCAGAAGCCCUCGCAGGGAGCAAAGACCAGGCCCUUGAACUUCUCAACCUACAGAACAGUCAAAUGCUCAGAGCCAUAUGUGGCUCGAGGCUGCCAUGUUGCACAGUGCAAAUCCACAGAGCGUUUCAUCCAACGGUAUUGCAUUCCACAGCCCGCUGCCCUGAGGAGGGAAAUGCACAGAGCCUCCUCCUGACCCACAGCGCACAUGUGAUUUGAGUCAGGAUGGCUUCAGCCUAAGGAAGAGCUUGCUGGGCUCCUCCUAAGUGUGAGAGGUUGGAGGAGCCACCACCUGGGCCAACAUAAAUUACCCUCAGCAAGACAACACCAGAGAGAAACGCUUCCACCACGCACAGAAAUGGUUCCGGGGGCUAGAGAUUGAGACAGUCCCCAGCCACUGUGCAGUUCUUCAGUACUUCAGGGCCCACAGAACAAAGGGGCUAAUAGGAGGCCCAGGAGUUACUGCUGCCCCAAGGAAAGAGAGGAUUAUCUCCUGUGCCCAGAGGCCCCGUGGAAGUGGUCCUAACUUGCCAUGUCCAGGAUAAAAGCCAGGAGAGGCCCACACAAGCCCCAGGCAGGAGGGACUCCCAAUGGAGCAGCCACUGAGGAUGGAGAGUCCGAGAGCUGCGGGGCUGAUGGGGGCCCAGGGGCAGUGCGGAGCUGCAUGUGGGUUCCAGCUGCGGCCACACGACCUGUGCCAGGCACAGAGGCAACAGAGGCUGAGCACGUUCCCCUCCCACGCACCAGAGCACGUGUUCAUUGCAUCCGCUGUCUCCUGUUUUCCUUCUAACAUUACAGAAACUGGGAACAUGCCUGCUAAAAAUUGAGAAGGAAGGGGAGAAUCAGAGACAGAGAACCCCAAAUUCUGUGUAUAACUUCUGCCCAGAACUCAGUUGACAUCUGAACCUUGAAUGUGUGACGCAAACUCCACGAAACACAAGGAUAAAAGAACCAAACUGAGAAUUCAGCUGCGGUUCAACAGGCAUAGUUUGCAGUUCGUCAAACCAACUUAAUGGCCCCAUCACACACACACACACACACACACACACACACACACACACACACACACACACACACACACACAAAUGGAAAAAAUAACGGAGCCUAGACUCUCCACGACAUGACAUUUACAAUGCCCAACAAGUCAUGCUAAAUGAUCCACAAUUGCAGAACCAGGGAAGUGCGGCCCACUCUAGCGAACAGACACACUCAGAAUCAGAACAAUCCCCUUACUGUGCUCAGAGGUGGAGCUUCCUGCUGUAUCCCUGCUCAGUGACGGGAAUUAGGGCCUGCACCCACCGCCAGAAUGAAUCCAGCCUUGCCGCGAUUUUACAGCUGCCGCGAAGGACAGUUCUGCAAUCGUGGGAAGUCUAAUGUUCAGUCUUCACCUAAUAAA
rnacentral:lncRNA from 1 species